rnacentral:rRNA from 1 species
CAUGCAAGUCGAGCGACGCAUUCCUUAGCCCGUAAGGGCGGGUUUGACGGAGCGGCGAACGGGUGCGUAACACGUGACCAAUCUGCCCCGAAGACCGGGAUAGCCCGGGGAAACCCGGAUUAAUACCGGAUGACCUCAUCACCACGCAUGUGGAGAUGAGCAAAGGUUCAGGCGCUUCGGGAUGAGGUCGCGGCCCAUCAGCUUGUUGGUGAGGUAACGGCUCACCAAGGCAAUGACGGGUAGCUGGUCUGAGAGGACGAUCAGCCACACUGGAACUGAGAUACGGUCCAGACUCCUACGGGAGGCAGCAGGAGGGAAUCUUGCGCAAUGGGCGAAAGCCUGACGCAGCGACGCCGCGUGGGGGAUGAAUGCCUUAGGGUUGUAAACCCCUUUCACGAGGGAAGAAACUGACGGUACCUCGAGAAGAAGCCCCGGCCAACUACGUGCCAGCAGCCGCGGUAAUACGUAGGGGGCGAGCGUUGUCCGGAUUUAUUGGGCGUAAAGGGCUCGUAGGCGGCUUGGCAAGUCGGCCGUGAAAACCCAGGGCUCAACUCUGGGACGCCGGUCGAUACUGCCAUGGCUAGGGUCCGGUAGAGGGGAAUGGAAUUCCCGGUGUAGCGGUGGAAUGCGCAGAUAUCGGGAGGAACACCAGUAGCGAAGGCGGUUCCCUGGGCCGGCACCGACG